AUGUCUGGGAAACUGCCUGAUGGAGGGGGAUAACUACUGGAAACGGUAGCUAAUACCGCAUAAUGUCGCAAGACCAAAGUGGGGGACCUUCGGGCCUCAUGCCAUCAGAUGUGCCCAGAUGGGAUUAGCUAGUAGGUGGGGUAACGGCUCACCUAGGCGACGAUCCCUAGCUGGUCUGAGAGGAUGACCAGCCACACUGGAACUGAGACACGGUCCAGACUCCUACGGGAGGCAGCAGUGGGGAAUAUUGCACAAUGGGCGCAAGCCUGAUGCAGCCAUGCCGCGUGUGUGAAGAAGGCCUUCGGGUUGUAAAGCACUUUCAGCGGGGAGGAAGGCGUUAAGGUUAAUAACCUUGGCGAUUGACGUUACCCGCAGAAGAAGCACCGGCUAACUCCGUGCCAGCAGCCGCGGUAAUACGGAGGGUGCAAGCGUUAAUCGGAAUUACUGGGCGUAAAGCGCACGCAGGCGGUCUGUCAAGUCGGAUGUGAAAUCCCCGGGCUCAACCUGGGAACUGCAUUCGAAACUGGCAGGCUAGAGUCUUGUAGAGGGGGGUAGAAUUCCAGGUGUAGCGGUGAAAUGCGUAGAGAUCUGGAGGAAUACCGGUGGCGAAGGCGGCCCCCUGGACAAAGACUGACGCUCAGGUGCGAAAGCGUGGGGAGCAAACAGGAUUAGAUACCCUGGUAGUCCACGCCGUAAACGAUGUCGAUUUGGAGGUUGUGCCCUUGAGGCGUGGCUUCCGGAGCUAACGCGUUAAAUCGACCGCCUGGGGAGUACGGCCGCAAGGUUAAAACUCAAAUGAAUUGACGGGGGCCCGCACAAGCGGUGGAGCAUGUGGUUUAAUUCGAUGCAACGCGAAGAACCUUACCUGGUCUUGACAUCCACAGACUUUCCAGAGAUGGAUUGGUGCCUUCGGGAACUGUGAGACAGGUGCUGCAUGGCUGUCGUUCAGCUCGUGUUGUGAAAUGUUGGGUUAAGUCCCGCAACGAGCGCAACCCUUAUCUUUGUUGCCAGCGGUUAGGCCGGGAACUCAAAGGAGACUGCCAGUGAUA
rnacentral:rRNA from 1 species